AUUGAACGCUGGCGGCAGGCUUAACACAUGCAAGUCGAGCGAGCGGCGGACGGGUGAGUAAUGUCUGGGAAACUGCCUGACGGAGGGGGAUAACUACUGGAAACGGUAGCUAACACCGCAUACCAUCAGAUGUGCCCAGAUGGGAUGAGCUAGCAGGUGGGGUAAUGGCUCACCUAGGCGACGAUCCCUAGCUGGUCUGAGAGGAUGACCAGCCACACUGGAACGGAGACACGGUCCAGACUCCUACGGGAGGCAGCAGUGGGGAAUAUUGCACAAUGGGCGCAAGCCUGAUGCAGCAAUGCCGCGUGUGUGAAGAAGGCCUUCGGAUUGUAAAGCACGUUCAGCGAGGAGGCGUUACUCGAAGAAAAAGCACCGGCUAACUCCGUGCCAGCAGCCGCGGUAAUAC
rnacentral:rRNA from 1 species